rnacentral:lncRNA from 1 species
AGCGUCGAGGGGGCUGGCCGUAUGAACCGUCCAAUCAGGUGUCCAGAGGGAGGAACAGUUUCCUGGCGCCAAAGCCCAGAUCCUGAGCACACUGAUAAGAGAGAGUCGCCGCAGCUGGCUAGAGCACCUUGCUUUAGGAUUUCUCCUGGCUGCAGGCUGCGCUGGAAGGACCCUGGGAGACCCUCCAGCCACACCAUGAUUCCAGCAUGUCCCCACCUUGCAAAACUGAGGAUAAGUGAUAACUAAUGCCAUGAGGAUUGGAAGAAAGGUUUGCCAGAUGUGGUGCCUGCCUGAAUCUAAGCACCCUGGAGGCUGAGGCAAGAGGAUCGCUGUGAGUUUGGGGCCAGCUUGGCCUACCUACUGAGUUCAAGGCUAGCCUGAACUACGUAGUGAGACCCUGUGUCAAAAACAAAGGAAGAAAAAAAGAAAGAUUUAACAUUGCUGGUGAUGUGAGACAGUCGUGGAGCCUUUGGUAAGCAUGCGGUGAGCUCCUGUGUUACUUACACAGCAAUGCAAAAAGUUACCAUCUUAAUAACUUAGGUGGCACCUGUACUAACAGCCCAUUUAAAUGAGGCCUUCCCAUGCAGUUUAGACUGCUGAGAGAAGCGCAGGGGAUGUUAAUGUAUUAGCAGGGGCAGGAGAAAGUGUUCCUGCUAAGGACUAGUCCAGAAGGGGCUGCCUGUUACAUAUACGGUGUGAAAGUGAUUGAACUCGGGCAUCUACAGGGACCCGUGAAUUGGUAGGAGUAGAAAGUGAGAGGGACUCAUCUCCUAUAAUUGCUAUGGUCUUUGGACUGUUUAUAUAGAUAGUGUGCUAAGAAUUAAAAUGGUGACUUAGGUGGACUUCAUAUCAAGGUAGAGAUGAAGCUUAAAAUGUGAGGUCUGCAGAUGUAUGAGUGGUUAGAGAUAAAGGGCUUUUCUCUGCAGGGAGAAGCAAAUGGGAGGAGAAAGAAAGUGAGAGAGGAGGGAUGGUGAUGGUGGUAAAAUCCACUGGAACAACGGAGGUCUUUCCCUGAGGUCAGAUUGUUGUUUGUGUGACAGUAAAGGAACUGUGUGCGAGCUCAGUCUGAGAAUGGGUCAAACAUCACAGGCCUUUAGGAAUGAGGAGACAUAAGAGUUCGGUAAAUAUGUCUUCUGUUAAAAUUGAUCAGUUCACUUAAUUAGUUUUUGUUUUUGGGGACAGGAUUCUGCUGUGUCAUUCAGGCUGGCUUUAAACUUACUAUGUAUCCCAGGCUUGCGUCCAACUUAGGUGAUCCUCCUGAAUCAGCCACCUGAAUACUGAGACUAGAGGUCUGUGCCAGCACACCUAGUCCUAAUUGUUUUUGAGGAAAAAAUGGAAAUUAGGAAGCUAUCUGACCUUGCCUGGAUUAAAAAUAUCAUCAUCUAGGGCCAGGGAUUUAGCUCAGUGGUUUCGCCGCCUGCUGCGCAAGCGCAAAGACCUGAGUUCGAUCCCCGGUACCAAAAAGAAAAAAAAAAAAUCAUCAUCAAAGUGUGAAGGGAAAGGAUUUUUCCAGGAUACAAAAGAUUUCAAGGUGUGGUUGAUGUUUUUGUUGUACAGAACAUUGAAUUCAGGACUUUUUCUCUGAACUACAUUCUCCACACAUCUUAAUAUUUUUAAAAUUUUGAGACUAGGUCUCACUGUUUAGGCUGCAAUGAACUUUCAAUCUUGUUUGAACCUUCUGGAGGGCUGAGAUGGCAGGGAUGUGCCACCCUGCAUGGCUAAGAUGGAGGUUCCUUAAUCUCCAGCACUCACCAGGGUUACUGUGAAGUUAAAUGAAAUGUAAGUGAGGCACAGUCCUGCUCACCUUUUAUCUCAGCCACUGGGGACCCUGAGGCAAGAUUAUUGCAACACCAAGGGCAGCUUGGACAAUGGAGCACAACCCAGAUCAUUAAAGUAAAAUUACUGGGGCUCUAUCUCCAAUCUCAAGUAUCUUGUAUAACCUACUUGAAUUCAGUUUCCACUCCGGAAGCAUAAAAGAAAAAGUGAUAAGUAUCCGGUGGAAAAUUUACUUUGAUUUUGAAUUUUAUACCAUUUGCCCAUGAAGGAUCUGUGAUACAAUACUUGCUCAAGAUGCAGGGCAGCAGCAGUAAGUGACUGUUGUCAGUGAUAGGAUACAAAGUAAAAACAGCCAGUGAUUUACAGUGCACAGUAUUCACUAAAGGACACGAGAUAUUUAGUAUAUUAUUAUGAAAUAAGCUAUGUGUUACAUUUUCUCAUCCCCAAGUCAGUGUAUGUGUGUUUAUCAGUUUUAUAGGAUCCGUGACUUAGCAAUAAUGUUUGGUCGACUAUGUAUAUUCAGUUCAUUUUGAAUACAUUAUACUUUCAACUGCUCUUGGGUUGAUCCAGAUAUUUUCCCUUAGUAAGUCAAGCAGCAUGUAUAGACUUAUUCAUUCCUUCAACUCAUUGUAAAGUGCUCUGGAGUGCUGUAUACAUUCAGUUCUUCCAAGGAUACAUUGUGAACGGUGCUUAGAUGAAAGUAUUUCUCUGGGUUUUGUUUUCUGGUUUUGGUUUGGUUUGAUUUGGUUGUUUCUUCAUUUAUUUUUGUAUUAUAGAGAGCUGCACUUCUCUGGUCAUACCUUUGAAUGUUUGUGAUGAAAAAAUCAGGUUUAGUUGAACGAUAAAAUGUACAAUUUACCACCAGAAAUGGACAAUCAAUAACAUGUUCCUCUUGAUUUGUACUGUCAAGCAUGUCAAAUCUCAAUUUAGGAUAAAGCAGAAGCAUUUUUGAUGUUUCUUGUAAAUUUAGUGUGUCUAAAUGUUGUCUCCCGUUCAUACUUAAAUGACUGUAAUGCUAUAGUGUGUCCAGGAAAAAAAAGGGAAA